ACUACAGCUCCUAAUACGACAACUACAGCUCCUAAUACAACAACUACAGCUCCUAAUACAACAACUACAGCUCCUAAUACAACAACUACAGCUCCUAAUACAACAACUACAGCUCCUAAUACAACAACUACAUCUCCUAAUACAACUACUACAGCUCCUAAUACAACAACUACAGCUCCUUUUACAACAACUACAGCUUCUAAUACAACAACCACAGCUCCUAAUACAACAACAAUAACUUUAGCUAAUUUCACAACCACUACUGAGCUACCAAAAACUACACAAAUGAGCACUACAACUCCACCUGCCGGACAGUCAACCACGAAUAGUGGGCUUAGUUAUACGUUUGUACUGAGGGUGAAAUUUUCCAUGACGACAGUCCAAACCGAAUCUGAGAUCUUGAAUCAGCUUCGUGAGUAUCUGAUCAGACGAGGGCUGCCAUUGGACUCUACACUGCGAUUGACAUUCAUUCAGAGCUAGUUGACGGGGUGAAGAGGAGAAGGACACCGGAGAGAAAACACAGACAGAACAGAAUAAAAAACUGAUCACUGAGAUAUUUUACACACAUAAUUUACAAUAGAUUAUCUUGCAAAUUACACUCUUACCCCAUGACCUACGGUAACUGGACCUAAUGUACUAGUAACUAAAUACCUACCGUACCUUCAGAAAGUUCCCUUGACUUUUCCCUCAUUUUGUUGUGUUACAAAGUGAGAAGAAAAAAUCUAACAUUUGUAAAAAAUAUAUACAUGAUCAAUAAAACACUAAUAUAUCUUGAUUAGAUAAGUUUUCAUCCUCCUCAGUUUUUCUCAGUCGCUUUGGUGCAUUUCUUAGAUCAAAAGUGCAAUUCUUGAUACUACUUGUACAAAUUCCAAAUCAUCUAGUCACUUGUGCACAUCAUUAAAGCAUUUUCUUAUUCCUUUGAACAAAUUGCAAUU